rfam:Aedes aegypti strain Liverpool supercont1.1224 genomic scaffold, whole genome shotgun sequence.
CCAUCGGCCCUUGUCGGGGCCAUCAAAUUUGUCGAAAAGAAGUUG